rnacentral:rRNA from 1 species
UUUAAAGUCUAAUCUGCCCCAUGAGGAAUUAAAUGGCCGCGGUACUUUGACCGUGCAAAGGUAGCAUAAUAAUUAGUUUUUUAAUUGAAAGCUGGUAUGAAUGAUUGGACGAGAAAAUAACUGUCUCAAUUUAAUUUUUUUAGAAUUUUAUUUUUAAGUAAGAAAGCUUAAAUUUUAUUAAAAGACGAGAAGACCCUAUAGAGUUUUAUAUUUAGUUUAUUUUUAGUUUUAAAGAAUUAUUUUAUUAAUAUUUAAUUAAAUAUUUUAUUGGGGUGAUAGAAAAAUAUUAUAAACUUUUUUUUUAUUUUAACAUUGAUUUAUGAUUUAAUGAUCCAUUAUUAUAUGAUUAAAAGAAUAAGUUACCUUAGGGAUAACAGCGUAAUUUUUUUUUAGAGUUCUUAUCGAAAGAAAAGAUUGCGACCUCGAUGUUGGAUUAAAAUUAAUAUUUGGUGUAGAAGCUAGAUAAUUGGGUCUGUUCGACCUUUAAAAUUUUACA